rfam:Salmo salar isolate Sally breed double haploid chromosome ssa05, whole genome shotgun sequence.
UGCACGCAUGACUGUAGGUCGCUUUGGAUAAAGGCAUCUGCUAAAUGACAUAUU